rnacentral:misc_RNA from 1 species
CCGCGCAGCACGGCCGCCAGCACCUCCGCGGCGCUGUCGCCGCCGAAGGGGAGCGCGCCGCCGGAGAGCAGCGCGUACAUCACCACGCCGGCGCUCCACACGUCCGCCUUGGCGCCGUACUCGCCGCCGGCCACCACCUCGGGCGCCACGUAGUGGGGCGUCCCCACAAGGCCCUCGGCGCGCCCGAGCCCACCGGCGCCCACCCACGCCGCCGACCCGAAGUCCGCCAGGCGCGCGCGCGGCGCCGCCUCGGCCUCGUCCUCCUCGUCGUCGUCGCUCCCGGCGGCGGCGUCGAUGAGGAUGUUCUCGGGCUUCACGUCGCGGUGGGCGACGCCGCGGCGGUGGCAGAGCGCGAGCGCCUGCGCGACCUGCGCGACGAUGGCGGCGGCCACGGGCUCCGGCACGGGCGCGCCGCGGCGGCGGCCCACCCACUCCAGCAGGUCCGGGCCCGGGCACAGGUCCAUGACCACGUGCGUCCACGCCUCGUCCUCGUACGCCGCGUGCACCUGCACCACGCCCGGGUUGCCCGCGCCGGCGAGCUGUGCCAGCUUCGGCUCCAGCUGCGCGAGCUCGCGGUCCAGGUCGUCGCCCAGCCGCGACCGGUCCACGGACUUGACGGCGUAGGCCUCCCCGGUGGCGCGGGACGUGCAGCGGUGGACCACCCCGAAGCGGCCGCGCCCGAUCUCCUCGCCGAUCUCGUAGUCCCUCUUCAGCUCCGCGCUCAUGCUUCAGUAAUUUCUCUCUGGUCUUUUGGGUUACCUCGUUCGGAGGAGGGGCCGGGUGGCCUAUUUAAAGACAUGAGUGGGAGCUACGGCCAGGCGGAAUAUUCGGAUCCGCGCCUGACCGGGACCGCGAGCGAACAGUGUUUUUUUCUCUCAUUUCCUCAAAUGCCCUCGUACGUCGUGGUUUGUCUCUCGAUCCUACUACUAGUAUUUGGCAUGGCUCCAAACAGGUCCGGUUAGCACUAAUCAGACCGAGGUGUAAACGGAAAUCUUACGCGCAAACGUGUA